ensembl:lncRNA
AGUGUUGUAGGUUGUUUUUUAGUGCAUUGUUGCACGUGUUUGUAUGAGGCCUAACGGGGGACGACUCAAUGACUGACUUUACAAACGCUGCGGACCACUACAACACCGACAACCUGUCUGGACACUGGGAAGGGUGUGCUCUUGAAACUGGACGCAAAAUGGAAGAACACCUGCAACUAUUGUGAAAGUUCAACAUUUGGGCAAAAUUGGAAUUGGUGAAAGCAAACAAGCGCAAGUUAAAUGUGUUUGUCAAAUUCAGGACUGGCGCUGGAAGCUGUAGGUGGAGGGAAGACCAGGAGUGGUGCAGCUCUGUAGAUGCUGAAGGUGUGCCAAUGGGUCACGUGUGUUCCUGAAGGGUCUGAGGCGACCCAGUUGGAGGUCCCUGCGGUGGCGGUCAGCCGGAGGUGUCAAGACCAACCAGCUCCUCGUCCAGGAAAGGUGAAUUCAUCAGACCGAUUAAAGGUCACAAUGGAAGAGCAGAUGGCUGUGCAGUUGCCAUGGCGGAGAGACCCAGAGUACGAUGACCGAACAGUUGAUCUACAACAGUGGCCUACUCCCCAUCCACCCUGAGGAUCCCUGGCUACACCUACAAUCCAAUCUACCCCAGACAUAACCACUUGGAGCUCAACAACUUCUACAACUCCCCCUACCUCCUACACACCAUACUGUUACCACUUUACCAUUUUAACUUUAAAACAAAGUACUGUAAUUCACACCAUGUUGUAGGAAAAGCAUGUUUACUUGAAUGAUUUAUGCAUUUUAUUUCUGUGACCCCAACUAUUGUAUUUCUGACCCAGUUACCUCUGAACCCUCUUUCUAAGGGAGCGACUAAAGGGACAAAGCUGGAGCUAACCUGAGCUUAACAAUCUUUCUAAUCUUUCUUUCAAAUGCCCUAAAUUGAAUCACAUAAAAUGCCUAAAGUAACUUGUCUAACAAAACAAAAAGCCAACCUAAUACCCAAACUUAACCAUCUAACUAUAGAUCUCAAAUGCCUAAACUCUCUUACUCUAAACGAGUACCUAAACUGAACCAUUUAACUAAACAUCUCAAAGGCCUAAACUCGCUUACCUCAACCUAACCUAAUACCCAAACUUAACCAUCUAUAACUGAAGAGCUCAAACGCCUAAACUCUUACCAUAACCUAGUACCUAAACUGAACCAUCUAACUAAACAUCUUAAAGGCCUAAACUCGCUUACCUCAACCUAACCUAAUACCCAAACUUGACCCUCUAACUAAACAUCUCUAAUGCCUAAACUCUUUCCUAAUACCUAAACAAUCUUUAAUACAAUCACUAAUGCCUAAACUUAACCAAACACCAAUAAUAAAAGUUAACCAUCCUUAAUCUUAAACCCAAACCAGACUUGUCCCUGGGUCGCUCCACUUUGUUUCUUUAAAGGCAUCUCUUUUCCCCCGCAUCUGUGUUUUAUUCCUUGAGGACUUCAAGUACUUCAGAUGAUGUUUGAAAACUUGUUUCAUUAAUAAAGAUACUUCAUCUUUACAGAUUUUGUUUUGGGGAAUUGGGACUGCUGAGCAGCUUAAGCAUCCUUACUGGUGAAACUGAUCUGACAAUAUCAAUUUUAGUACUAUGAAGCCAAUAACAUGAGGCUGAAUAUGUGAAAAGACGAGGUGGACAAUGAUCGAGGAGUCAACAAGGAGUUGAUUGGUAAACAUCUAACGUGGAACCAAUGCUUAUUUGUUUGAUCUGUUACCAGGCUAUCGCAGUAGGGGAAUCUGGAGGAGUACCCAACAGUGUUGCAUGGGUUCUUGAUAGAUUGCAUUACGGCUGAGGCCAUUCAUUAAGAUUGUUGAUUUGAUGAAUAUGAAUAAAGAG